GCAUGGUGAUGGAUUUAUGGCGGGUCCUUCUCCGUGGGCCUCUCAUAGUGUACCCAUGCCAGAGUAGACUGCAGCCCCGAACCACUGCUCAGCCUCCUUACCUGUGGGCUGUGAGCACUGAAGGGAGUUGGUACAGUG
rnacentral:snoRNA from 1 species